rnacentral:lncRNA from 1 species
CCGGACUUCUAUUGCAGGUAGGCUUCGACCGAGCUUCCUCAACAAAUGAUCUCCAUCCGGACUUCUACGGGAACCAGACUCCGAUCGAACUUCUGUAGCGAGCAGAUUUCGGACGAAAUCCUACAACGCACGGGCCCCAGCAGCUGAACCCCUCUAGCAGAAAGCCCCUGACCGAGCUUCUACAGUGGAUGACCUUCGCCUACAGUACUAGCACCCUAGGCACCCGAUGGUAGAAAGCUCGCCAGCAACAUCCGAGCUCCUCUC